rnacentral:lncRNA from 1 species
GUAAGAAAAAAAUCUAAAUUCAUAUUAUAAAUCUCAAUGAAAGACUUUUAUUAAAUGUAUAAGACUAAAACUAUUUUCUACUCUACAUGUAAGUGAGAUGACUGAAUAUUAGGCAUGUGACUUAGAGUUCUUUUUUACUUUUGGUGGAUAUGUUCUUUCAUCCGCCACACAGAUUAGCUGGAUUUCAAGUUGUUUUCAGAGAGAAUAACCUACAGCUGCAAAAUUAUUACUAAAAUAUUUCUUGAGAGUAAUGUUAGUCUUGUCAUGGAUGAUUCAAGACCAUGUACUCUGCCCAUUCUUCUACAUUCAAUAUAUCCCUGGAUCAAACUAGAAUAGAAGAAAGCUAUAAACAAUGGAAAAUUUUCUUAUUCCUUUAUACAGCAAUUUUACUGGCCAAAAAACAAAAAACAAAACAAAACACACACACACACCCAAAAAUAAUAAAAAGCUGAAAGUAUCACACAUCUGUGGUCAAAUAAGAAAUGUUGAAUUUAUAAAUGGAUGCCAAAUAAGUAUCCCAAGGCUGAUAAUUAAUGCAUUCUACCAGAAAGUAUUUGUAUGACUAUCUGUUAUCAACAAAUUAUUUCCUGUCAUUAUAGAAUUAUAAAAUAGCCAAAACAAGUACAAGUGGAAAGGACCAGGAAGAGAAAGCUAAAAUUUUCAUUAUUUUUUCUUAUGGGAAAUAUCCUUGUUAGAUUUAAGCUAUUAAAAACUCCUAUCCUAGGGCUGAGGAUAUAGCUCAGUUGGUAGAGUAAUUGCCCCAUAUGUACAAGACCCUGGGUUCAAUCCCCAGCACCACCAAAAAAAAA